GCCUACUUAAGAAGAACGAAAGGCUCCAAGAAGCGUGUGCUGCUGUGACGUUUCAACUCGCAAUGGAGUUGCCCCAAGGGAACUGCGGUGUUCCUGUCAGUCAAGAAUUUUCCCAGGUUUCAAGCAUUCAUGUCAGGAGAGUAGGAGAGUACCAUAGCAAAGCUUCACUAGAAUCGAUAAAACUCAUAAAAGGAAGGUGGCACGGACCAUUUGGCCAAGAAGAAUCAAACCAGUUUCUAAGUCCCUGACCCAUUCCUUGUCUUUUGUCUGAAUAGGUUUACACAAGAGUCUGCAUAGGCAUUUGCUCUUAGGUUUGGUGGUGUUUAAUGAAACUUCCUCCAGCAUGAGAAUAGAACGACUGUCCAUGGGUUUUCCAAGGUUUUGAGGCAGCCUUCUAGCUGCUUAUGCUCUCAAAUGGAGGAGGUCUUUUCUCUAACCUAGGCAUUACCACAAACCUGCCUGACAGCCAUUCUGUGGGAUGUUCUUGGUGAAGUCCAGUGCUUGCUGGCUGAAUGCCUGUGCCUCAGUACUUGAGCAGCACUGGGUUAUCUCUGAAUUCUAUGUGGUCCUCUUCAAGGUCAGUGCCUGCUUCACCUCUUCAGCUCUAGACUUAUUCCUGUGUGGUUGGACAAAAGUGACAUUGGAAUGGAAACUGUUUCUUUUUGAUGUGAAUACACUUGGACAGAGUUUUGCUUCAGUGCUAUAAAGCAUAGCCUAGUUUUCUCUGGAAAUGUGGGGAAUCAAUGGGGAGAGGUAAACAAAACUACUAGGAAUGGAAAAGCAUUAUAGACAGCUCAGAUUUGCU
rnacentral:lncRNA from 1 species